rnacentral:misc_RNA from 1 species
GAUGAAGAACGCAGUGAAAUGCGAUAAGUAAUGUGAAUUGCAGAAUUCCGUGAAUCAUCGAAUCUUUGAACGCACAUUGCGCCCCCUGGCAUUCCGGGGGGCAUGCCUGUCCGAGCGUCAUUUCUGCCCUCAAGCACGGCUUGUGUGUUGGGUGUGGUCCCCCCGGGGACCUGCCCGAAAGGCAGCGGCGACGUCCGUCUGGUCCUCGAGCGUAUGGGGCUCUGUCACUCGCUCGGGAAGGACCUGCGGGGGUUGGUCACCACUAUAUUUUACCACGGUUGACCUCGGAUCAGGUAGGAGUUACCCGCUGAACUUAAGCAUAUCAAUAAGCGGAGGA